rnacentral:rRNA from 1 species
GAUGAACGCUGGCGGCGUGCUUAACACAUGCAAGUCGAACGGAAAGGCCCAAGCUUGCUUGGGUACUCGAGUGGCGAACGGGUGAGUAACACGUGGGUGAUCUGCCCUGCACUUCGGGAUAAGCCUGGGAAACUGGGUCUAAUACCGGAUAGGACCACAUUUUGGAUGGUGUGGUGGAAAGUUUUUCGGUGUGGGAUGAGCUCGCGGCCUAUCAGCUUGUUGGUGGGGUAAUGGCCUACCAAGGCGUCGACGGGUAGCCGGCCGGAGAGGGUGUACGGACACAUUGGGACUGAGAUACGGCCCAGACUCCUACGGGAGGCAGCAGUGGGGAAUAUUGCACAAUGGGCGAAAGCCUGAUGCAGCGACGCCGCGUGGGGGAUGACGGCCUUCGGGUUGUAAACUCCUUUCGCUAGGGAAGAAGCGUUUUUGUGACGGUACCUGGAGAAGAAGCACCGGCUAACUACGUG